UGAAGAAAAUUCUGUUUGUCCUGCCUAGACUCACUCAUGUGGCCCUUGGCAGCUCAACUGGAUGGGCUGGGUCUCUGUCUGGCCUGUCAUACCGGUCUUCUUCACAAUAUGGUGGUGUCAAGAUUCCAAGACCAUAGCCACAGUGAUCUUCAUAAAGUAAUGAAUAAUAUUUACAUUUGGAAGAAAGAAGAGGGAAGAAGAUUAAAAAAAAAAAAGAAAGAAGAGCCUACACCUCCAGAUGUAAGAAAUUUCUCUUCUACCAAAAAGAGUGUUCAGAAAAUAAGCUGUGCAAGCCCAAGAAUUCUGCAGAGUUUGAAGUGUUUGUAUUCAGAAGCAGCGUGAAACAUCAAAUGCUCUGCACAUCAGUAGGUUUGGGUAGAAGAGAAAUUUAAAUAAGGGAUGAACUACGCUGUGAAGCAGUAAGAAGGACUUCUAUGUAAUCUGACCUGUCAGUGUUAAGUUGAAAAGGGGUGUGCUCAAGCUUACAUAAAUCUUCAUGCUGCUUUUACUAAUUAACAUGUGUAAAAAUCAUAGGAAAAUUUUCCACAGGAGAAGGUGAUGCCUCUCCUUACCCCUUUAUAAUUCAUUUUUCUUCUAAGCUUUUUUAAUGGUGGCUGGAAUCCUGCAGUAGGAAUCACAUUCUUGAUUUUUUGACAGCAUUGCCACAUUUUCAUCCUUUUGGUGUUUCUUAAUUUCCGACUCUGCAUUUUGACAGCUCAACCCUGUUGAUUAAUGCCUUGUAGGAACCCCUAUAUGGCCUGCCUGUUAGCGAUCUAAUUUUGUGCUGGAACGCCUGGGCUGGUAUGUUGAACCGAUUCACCACCCAGGUGGCUACAUUUGGACUAAAUGAGCUGUGAAGGGUUUCAUCUUUGCCCAUCACAGUCUUCCUUAGCUGAGCCCCACAGUAUGCAGCCACCGCUUCGACAUGAUUUGUCACAACCCAUCAAUAGAAAAUAAAUUAUUGCCAUUCUCACUUGUCAAUGGGCUUGUCUUCACUUCGGCUGGCCUAAUGAUUGGAAGCUCAAAGGGAACAUUUCCCAUCUUUGUGGAGCAUGAUUAUGACCAAAUGCACUGCUCCCCUAUGCAUCUUGGCCAGUAAAAACACGUAGGGAAAGCAAAUUAAUUGGCUGUUUUGCACCAGUGAUUAGAACAUUACACUCGAAGUCUGCAGAAACUGAUAUUAGGCAAGCAAGAUUAGGUCGGUUCUGACUUUUAUUUGCUUAGUGCAACAUGAUUAGCAACUGCUUCAUUCAAGGUUAGUGCUCUUGCUGCUGAAGAAAAUCUUCAUAACAUAAUGAUGCUGCAUACCUUUAAGCUGAUAAGCAUGUUCCAGGCAGAAAUCAAAAAUCUCUUUGGGAAAGGAAGCAAAUGAGGAGAUGUAACAGAGAUCUCAUCAAAUGGCUUUAGAGCCAUUCUUAUGUCUGGCACUUUCGAAAAUUAUAUUCCUAGGAAACCCGCUCUGCAAGCUAUAUUUGCAGAAUGUAGAGAUGGUAAUUGUGUCAGUUCACGAGACAAAGAAUAAAAGUACCCAAGGAGCAACACGAAGUAGAAGGUGACACCUUUCAAUGAACUAACUAAAAAUGAGCUUGCUUUAAAAGAAACCGAAACUCUUCUUUUUUACAAACUACAGAAAGAGCAGGAAGAGCAAAGGAUACAAUGGCAGGGCAUCAAGUUAGACCUCAUAAUUAAAUUCAGAGAUACAGUAGAUCAAAGAGGAAACUGUAUUUAAAAAAUUAGGUCUAGGGUGUGGAUUUGAGUUUCCCAGUUAACAGCUUUGCCUGCAGUAUAAUGACAAGGGGCUUUAUCUAACAGAACAAUAAACAAAGAUGCAGUGUACAAGUAAAAGAAUGCCUGACACUUUAAUUAUUUUAAAUAUGGCGUUGUUUUAGAUUUGGGCCAUGUCUACAAAACUAAGCAGUUUUUUACGAUUGCCCUAUCUUAUCUACCACCACCACCUAGGAAUGAGAGAGGGAAACAUACUGUGAAUGAAAAUCAAAAUGUGAGUUCCCAACUUCCAUCCUCUCUGGCCUUCUUAGUAAAUCUUUUGCCAUCUCAUUGUUUGUUCUUUAGCCCAGAGACAGAUGCCCCAGGAGUACAACUAAAUCUGCAAAGGAUACACACUUUAGAAAUACUAUUAAGUGUACUUUCAUGUUUGUUUAAUGUAGCUCAGGUCUCACCUAUGCCACAGAACUUGACGCAUGUGGUUUAAGAACACUAAAAUGCUUCUGCUCAGUACCAACAGAACUGAGGGAUGCAGGGAACUUUUCCCCUACAUCAUAAAUAUUUUUGUUUACCAAACCUUUAGCAUUUUCUUCCUCUUUUCCUAGCAUGAGUUACUGUCUUCUGAUCUUUGGAGACAUAAGGUUCUUGAGCUCCCAAGUCAACCUCUUUGUCUUCUGGAUUAAGGUCACAUGUCAUCUUGGAGAAUUCCUCCUUUCACAGGAAUAUGAAUGUUUUCUAAUGGGAGGCAUUUAAAAUGCCUUAGUUGAAGACUGAUUCAAAGAAAAGCUCUCUUUUGGAUUCAUCUCAACAUCUAUCAGGUGGUAUUAUUUUUCCAAUAAUCUUUUACUUUAUCCUUUGCUUUUGAAAGAGCUUAUGUCCAACCUAUAAUUAUUUUCUGCUAAUUAGAGUAAUUCAUGGUUAAUUAUUCAAAAUGAUUCCUCUUCAAAAUCAAAUCCAUUUCUUGUCAUGACAUUAAAAAAAAGUACAAAUAAAAUAUCAGAAUGCAAAUUUCUGUCAGAAGGGAAUGUUUUUUUUUUCUUUAAAUAGCAUAAAAAUCUUUCUCUACCAGCAAAGGCUCCAUGAUUGCCUGCUUCAAUUAAUGUGAAUUAGAGAAGGGCAACUGAAUCAUGAAGUGAUGAUUGUCAAUAUUUUUGAUAAUUAGUAAAGACUGGUUAUACUGACUAUACUGGAGUAAGUGAUAUACUGUAUCCUUAAAGAAGAGUUGCAAAGCAAUAAGACUUAAAAGGGUAAGAACAAACAGUAAACAUGUUAGCUUGGGACCCUGGAUGUCUAAAGAUGUACUUUGAAGAUGUAUGCCUCUUUGUAGACUAUCAUUUGGCUAAAUCUUCCUUUCUUGGUAUUGCCUUGGUCCUGCUUUCUCAAGAGGCAGCUCCUUCCCUCUGUUAUCUCCUAGGGUGGCCCUACAAUCAUGCUUUGCCUGUAUCUGGACCAUUACCCCACUAUGAUCUCACUCUCCAUUUUGGUUUAGUCUCAUUAUUGUAUGAAUCCCAACCAUCUUUCCCAAGAGGGUAAGGUUCUCCUCUGCCUAAGUUUUUCUUAGGCAAUAGCCUUCAUAUACAUACACUAUACUUAGUUACAUUUUCUUUUCUUUUCUUUUUUUUACUUAGUCAAAUUUUCUACAUACAUUGAGUACCUUCAGUGCACUAAGCCCUCAAGUUGUAUAAUUAAAAUGAAGAAAGUUGAACAUACCAACUGUGUAGGUCAUGGACAGUUCUAUUAGAUUCAAACAAAGAGAGUAAAGUUACAGAUACAUCAAUGUAAGCAUAAGAUACACAGAUCUUGGGGUGCCUGGGUAGCUCAGUCGGUUGAGUGUCCAACUUUGGCUCAGGUCAUGAUCUCACGGGUAGUGGGUUUGAGCCCCACAUUAGGCUCUGUGCUGACAGCUCAGAGCUUGGAGCCUACUUUGGAUUCUGUGUCUCCCUCUCUUUCUGCUCCUUCCCCCCUCAUGUUCUCUCUCUCAAAAAUAAACAUUAAAAAUUUUUUUAAAAAAAAUCUUUAGAAAUGGCAGCUACUUCUGAGAUGCAGAAGACAAGAAAAUUAUCUGGGAAGUGCUGAAAUUGUGGCUAGAGGAAAGAGAACUACUUGCACUUUGAUGAGGACUGAUUACCAUCUUGUUCUUAAUCUUCACUAAAACUUUGCAACUUAUUUUAUUUGCUUCCCCCUCACCAUGGGAAUACAGUUCAACUGUUAUAAUAAAAAUUAACUUUACAUAACUUUUCUUGAACGUACAGAUUUUCAUAACGGCUAUGACAAAAACUAGGAAAACAAAACAAUUAGAUGAUAAGUGACCUUAUAUGUCUGUGAUGAUGGCAGUCAUGCUUGCUAAAUAGUCUGUGAGUCCCUUUUCAGUUUAGACGGAGCCAUGUAACUAGUUCUGGCCUAUGGACUAUGAGCAGAUUACCAUGUGUCAGAGCAUUUAACUGCCAAUGGGAGGAGACCCUCCAGUGGACUCUUUCAUCGCCAUGGCAACAAAAGAGACCGUGUGCUGAGAUGGUGGAUUCAAAGAUGUAAGAGGCCUGGGUUGCUCAGUCACCACAUGGAGGAUGAUGUUCUAGAGAGUUGCCUGAGUUCACAGUUACUUUUGUUGACUUCAACAUACAAAAGCCAAGACAUCAAUCUGUGCUGUAUGUGGCUCACAAGAGGGCCUCAACAUAUAUCUUUAUGCUGAAUAAAAUGGUUCCACAGAAGCACAUUUCUCAUCUAAAUGCCAGAGUAAGUUUACACAGGCAGCAUAGUGAUGUGAUCUCAAAUGUCCAUCACCAUAAAUGCAAAACUCCCUUUUUGUGUUUGCAGAAGUAAUUCUUUAUUUUCCAUAUUUGAAAGAAAGUAUCAAAGACUGCAUGCUGUUUGUUAAGAGGGCCUUUUCUUUUAAAAAGCUAUUCAAACAAUUUUUACAAAACCAUCUGUAUUACUUCGUUUUUUUCUUUAACUGCUGCUACAUUUUACUUUCUUUUGCACAUAAUGAAAACAAUCAAUUGACUUGUAUUACUUUGUUUUCUGUAGUUCAUUGAACUAUACAAGAAAGCAGAAUGAAGGUAAUAAUAGAAUUUUUUUUAAUCUGGAAAAUUGCUUUGCUAUUCAACUCUUUGAAACUGUUGCUAAAUUUUGGUAUUUUGGGUUUAUGUGUCAAAAGUAGUUAUACUAUAAUCAUUCCUAUCUGGAUGAAUGUUCAAAGCUCUGAAGAAUUUUUAUCAUGACAUGAUUUAAAUAAAAUAUUAGAGACCAGCUAAAUGUUUAAUUAUAGAUUAUUCACAUAUUUGGAGCAUCCACUUCAUGAUGUAUUUUGUAGCCAUUUAACACGAUAAUGUAGAACGUCAGCUUUUAGAUGGGAUAACAUUCAUUUAUCUGAUUAAAAACAGGAAGAGUUACAGCCAAAGUUCUACAAGUGUAUGUAUCCAUCAUACUAUUUUAUCAAGACUACAGCCUGAUUUUCAAAAUUUGAGCACAUCUUCUGAAUUUUAUGUAAGUGAACAUGUGAGUUGCUUCAUGGGAAAAAAUAGAGAACCGUCAUGAAAAGAAUUCAUGAUACGAUAGGUAAUUAAGAGUCACUAAAGACAACGAAAAUGAUCUGCAUCACCAACUCAUGGCAGCUACGGAGAAUUGCAGGUACCGGCCUCAGAAGGUACUUUAAGUGUCAGACAAAUGGUCAAAGGAAUUUAGCAGUAGGACUUUCUGCUAUGAAAGCAGAGACUUACGUAACUUGAGAUACAGUUGUAUUUCACAUAUACCUUUGCUAGGCUGUGUUUUCUUUCUCAAGUGUAACUGCAGUUGUUGGGCAUGGAAUUAUUCUUCUUUUCUUUCUUUGUUACUUUAAGGAAAUUAAGGUCAGCUGAUGCAUUUUAACUCUCCACAUUUGAACCUGAAGCACAACACUUUCCAUUGAGGAUUCUUGUGGAACUUUUUAGUUAUGUUUUAAUAAAGUCUUACUUGUAUUGACUUCUGAGGUGGCGUGGCAUUCCCUAACUCAUCAAUUACUUGGGUUUAUGGAGAGAUUUUAAUUUGAUAUGAUAGAUUCAACCACUGUUUUUCAGGUUUUAUCUGCAUGCCUGGAAGCCUUUUAAUAACCUGCAAUAAUAAACAAAAUGAAUUUGACUUCUAGGGUAGAUAUUCUUGUAAUUGAUGUUUUUACCAACUCAGGGUGUUCGUUUAUUUUUCCAAAAAAAUAAAGCACACUCUUUCCAUCCUUGGGGAAUAGAGUAAUGGAAUUGCAAUACUAAAAAGUUGUGAGAGAUUCCAUGGUUGCAAUGAAAACAAUUCAUACAGAUCUAUUUCUUAUAUUUACUUUUUUUUAAGUUUAUUUAUUCAUUUUGAGAGAGACAGAGAAAGCGUGAGCGGGGGAGGAGCAGAGAGAAAGGGAGACAGAGAGAAUCCAAAGCAGGCUUCUCACAUGGUCAAUGUGCAGAGAUGGACACAGGGCUCGAACUCAUGAAACUGUGAGAUCACCACCUGAACCGAAAUCAGAUGUUGGAUGCUUAACCGACUGAGCCACCCAGGCGCCCUGAUAUAUUUCUUAUUUUAGACAUGAUCCUUGCAUAACUCAAAAAAAAAUUUUUUUUCCCAUAUCUUAAAUUUAUUUACCUUUCUGUGUAGAGUAGUUAGGGAUCAAGGUGUAAUAAUUUUUUUUUUUUAAAUAUAGUAACAAGUAGUAGGUAAGGCUGGUAUGGACUAAAGACCAGCAUAGGAAAUGACAUUAUUUUUACUUUCAAAAUUGUGUAUUUCCAAUACUGAAAAAUGGGGUUUUCAACAUAGACGUGAUUUUGAUAAAUGACAGAAUUCUGCCUAAGGCCACAGAAGAGACAAGAACAAGGAACAUAAGAAUAGGGAAUUUACAAAUUAGCAUGUUAUGAUUAUCCUCUUUCAUAGCAUUUAAGAACAGCUUUGAAAAGAUCCAAUGUCUUCAGCACUUUAAACUUAUUUCUACUGUAUCUAAGUAGCAUGUACUAUAACUCAAAUUGACAAGGCUGCCUGAGAAAUAUUGGCACAACUCUUGUAUAGCGAUGAGGCAUUACUGAACAAUAUUUUUGGAUGAUAAACAGUAAUGGAAAUUUGAGAUUGAAAUGGCCUUUUCAAGGGAAUAGGUCACACCUACGAAAACACAAGAUAGGUAUUUAAGUUUGUCUCUCAUUCCUGGAUAUUGAGCCUCUUCAAGUGUUUGUGCGUUAGUCAAUUUGACACCUCAAGGAUCCCUAAUUUUUAUGAAGAUGUCAGCGUGCUGGUAACAUUUUUUGAAAGAUCUAUUAAAAAAAAAAAGUAUCUUACUUGCCCCAAGACUGAAUAUAAUUUUUCAUGAUACUUACAGGGCUGAUGAAAUAUUGCAUGGGUUGUGGAAGGAGGGGUUGCAGCCAGCAAAGGUGGUGAGCCAUAUGAGGAUUUCAAUAAUUUGCUGCAGUGAUAAUGCUCUGUCUCAGCUCUCAAGAAACCAAAGCAAUAGCUACUAUUUACUAGGCUGUACUAAGAACUUGAGGAAAGAAAAUCACUGAGGCUCACUUUCUUCAUCUGUAUAUAAGGGCACUGUCUAGCUCGUAGUUUAUUGUGAGAAAAUGAAUUCCACAUAUAUACAAAAGCCAUUCCAAGUUAAAUAUAUGAAGUAUUCAAGGUUGAAAAUCCAUAGGUGUACUUUAAUUAACUGAAAACCAUUGAAAAAUCUUGCAUGAGUCUUUAACCUGUAGAUGUGCUCCUGGUGUGGUAAACUCACUAAAGGAAAAAAAAAACAAAAAACUGUACCAUUAAGAACGGAGUCAGGAUUGAAAGAAACACUGCCUAAUAUGGAUGUCAUCUAUGUCAUCAAAGACUCUGAAAGUUCCAUACAUUGCAAACAUUCAGGACAUUCCUAUUGGAAUGACCUGGCUUCACUUAAGGUGGGGUUAUAUCCCAAUAAACCCAUAAACCCAUCUUAAGUGGAAAAUAUUGUAAAUUGAAAAUGCAUUCAGUGCACCUAACCUACUGAACAUCAUAGCUUAGCCUAGCCUACCUUAAAUGUGCUCAGAACACUUACAUUAACCUACAGUUGGGCAAGAUCAUCUAACAGAAAGGCUAUUUUGUAAUAAAGGGUUGCAUAUCUCAUAUAAUAUAUUGAGCAGUACACUCAAAGUCAAAAACAAAAUGGCUGUGUGGGUUCAGAGCGGUUUUACACAGUUUAUUUACAAAUUAUUUACCCUCAUGGUCCCUGUCGGUGACUGGGAGCUGAGGCCCGCUGCCCAGCAUCAGGAAGGAGUGUUGCACCCCAUAUAUCACUAUCUGGGGAAAAGAUCAAAAUUCCAAGCACGAUUUCUACUACAUGCAUUUUGCUUUUGCACCAUCGUGAAAGCCAAAAUAUCAUUAAGUAAAACUGUCAUAAAUUGGGGACUAUCUGUAUAUAAUCUCAGAUGCUUCUGACCCAUCACCAGCUGUUGCCACACUCGUUGACAUUUUCUUAUUGCCAAUCUUUUGUGUAUUUCUAAAUUCAGGUUUCAAUGGUCAAAUAAUUACAUGAGACUUGCAAAUAACUAAUAUAGUUACUACUAUAGUCACUCAGGGGAAAGAGUAGUUUGAGGUUUUUCUCUGAUCCCAUUUAUGUUACUGUUUUCACUGUAGCAAAAAGUUUUAGGUAGGUCUGUAAAAUUUUCCUGAGUGUUUCCAGUACUAAAAUAAACUUCUGAGUAAUUCAUUUCUCUCUCUUGCCUGUAUACGUACAAAUGUUGUAUGAUAAAUAGUCUAAGAAGAGUCUUUUAUCAGUAUUGGCCUUUUCCUCUGGAGUUUCUUUUCCUUCUAGUUUCUAAACUUGAGUAUCUUGGGUUCUCUUAGAUUCUUGCUUUUGCAUCCACAUAUUUAUGUUCAUCAGUCCAAUUUAUACUUCCUUUUCAUUUUUUGACUCUUCUUUCCUAGUUUACUGCUAAUUUCAUUCAUAUAUCCGUCCAGUAAUCUUUUACACAAACUGUAUUUUAUAUUUUAUUUUUUUAGAGAAAGGGAAUGUGUGACAGGGGUAGAAAAAGGGCAGAGAGAAUGAGUGAGUGAGUGAGAGAGAGAGAGAGAGAGAGAGGGAGAUCUUAAGCAGGCCCUACGCUCAGCGCAGAGCCUAAUGUGGGGUUUGAUCCCAAAACCCUGGGAUCGUGACCUGAGCUGAAUUCACGAGUUGGACGCUUAACAGAAUGAGCCACCCAGGCACCCAUACACAAACUUUAUAAACUCAUUUUCCAUUGUACUACAACAAGCUAGACGGGUCUCCUCCUUCACCACAUAUUUGUUGACUUUGGGCAGGUGGUUGUAGGUGUAUGGGUGGUUUUCUCUGGGUGGAGGAGACCUUUCAUUAGGGAUGUCUGGCCUAAGACCUGAAUCAUGGGAAGGGGUCAGCUGUGAGGGGCUGCAAUGGGCGUGCAAGUUUGAUGUGUUUGAGGAAAAGAAGGCUAGCAAAAAAGGACAUGGACAAUGAAAAGAGAGGCCCAAGGGUGGGAGGGUAGCCAGGUCACAUGGAGGCUACAGUUUUUUUAAGUAUGCCGGAAAUCAUGGAGGGAUUUUAAGCAGGGGGUAUGACAAGAUCUGAAUUACUUUUUAAAUGGUCAGUCCGGUUGCUGACAGAUGAAUGCUGUGGAGAUAGAGUCCAGGGAGCCUUCCUAAACAUUCCUCUCUCUGGACUUCCUGGAACCUCCUCUCUUACUCACUUGGCUUUUACAUAUAUGUAAUCUUGUAUUAUUCCAAUUUAGGUGUGUAUCACAUAAUUUUACCAAAUGCUCUUCGAUAGACUCCAUAUCUUGGCCUCUGUAUCGUAAGACUCCUUUGUGCUCUCCAUAGCACUUAGUCAGAUGCGUUACACCCGAUAGGUACAUAACAUAGGUUAGUAACUGUUGAUGGAGCCCUAUUAUAUAAAGUACUCAUUCUAGUAAAACAGAAUGUGAAAAGUCGAGUAAAAUGGCAGAAUCAAAGUGAUUCUGUAUAUGGGUUAUUUAUUAUAAAAUUAUCUCAACUGAACUAUGCAUUUCAAAUUUUUCAUAAAAAAUAUGGUCAAAAGCCAGUUGAAAGUGAUCAUUGAAAAAGAGCAUAUUAACAAAAUGUUAAAGUUUAUAGUUCUGUACUUUCAGUUUAUGUAGCUGAGCUUUCAGGAAAUCUUCUAAUCCUUACGCAGGAUACAGAUUUUUGUCCAUUUCCUUAUGACUUUGAAAAGUGCCCCCCAAGAAGUAGUGUAAUCAGUUCAACUUCCUAUGGCUUCCUAAGGUAACAAUUUGGGUUAUAUUCACCUAUAUUUUCUAAAUGAUGGCUAUGCCUCUGUUAAAUUUUCCGAUCUGUCAAAACCAGAAAAUAAAGUUAAAACAUUAAAUCAUUACUAAAAUUAAUAUUUUGUGAUACUUAAUGAAAUCGAAUACAAAUAAUUACCUAUUGCUCACUGAGCAGUAUAGUCUUGCCUUAGCAUUUCAUCAGGAGCGAUGGUAAAAAGUACAAUCAGCAUAACAUAGCAACAGUCUCUGUGACACUCUCCUCACCCUCUCUCCUUACCUCUCUCUCUCUUUCUCCCCCUCUCUUUGCCUCCCUGGCUCCCUUUUCCCCAUCUGUUUUUUUUUUUUUUUUUUUUUUAAUUUUUUUUUUCAGCGUUUAUUUAUUUUUGGGACAGAGAGAGACAGAGCAUGAACGGGCGAGGGGCAGAGAGAGAGGGAGACACAGAAUCGGAAACAGGCUCCAGGCUCUGAGCCAUCAGCCCAGAGCCCGACGCGGGGCUCGAACUCACGGACCGCGAGAUCGUGACCUGGCUGAAGUCGGACGCUUAACCGACUGCGCCACCCAGGCGCCCCCCCCCAUCUGUUUUUUCAAUGCAGAGACACUGCAUAGCUUGAGGGAAGCGUGGCAAUUUUUAAAUGGGAGGGGAAAUGAUCAACAUUAGUUUAAGAUUAAAGUUGCAUAACUAGAUUUGCCUUUUUUUCAGAAUGAAAUUUCUAACGCUCUGAAGCACCACAGUGCUACCAUGUAACUUAAAUAAAGAUAAACAGUUUUUCUCAAUUUGCACAACUUUUGGUUUCUGCCUUCUUCGUCAUUUAAGUCUCGGACAGUUUGUUUUAAUGUACUGCUUUUGUGAAUGAUUUAAAUGGAAAAAAAAAUGUUCUUUAGCUUUUCUUUUAAAACAACAGAAUGCACAUUCUCACGUUCACACGAUCUUACGCUAGGAAAAACUAAUAGAACGCCUAUCCCAAAGUGUACUUUCAACUUGUUUGUAUUGCAGACAAUCGACAUCUUUGAAGGAGACUUGACAUGAAGGCACAAAAGUCACCCUGCUUCAGCUGGGCCAACCUAUGGGUAAUGUUUGAAGUCAGUGGAAGCUUUGCAUUUUGGGAAGGCCUAUCCAGGUGUCAAUAAAUAUGAGAAAUGGGCUCAGAGCUGUGUGUAAAUGAAUAGGUUGCAUGCACUUGAAGGCAGUCUUACAGGAACACAUUGAGAGAUCUGGCAUUCUUAAAAUCAAGCAUAUGUCAUAUCAACAUUCCUAGUACAAAGUAUUUUGUUACUGUUUCUGUGCUCUAAAUAGCCCCAUGCAAAGGCACAUCAUUGAACCAAAGCAUAUGGAGGCGGCUAUUCAGUUAUGCUGAGCUAUGCUUCAGUAUCAAAUCACUACCCCCUUCCUCACCUUUUUCCACACAUUUCCAGAAAUGGAAAUUUCUGCUCAGAAAUUCUACUAUAGCAAAGAAAGAAGUAAAUACAUGAGGGUGGAUUCCAGUUCUCAAGACAUAUCAAUAUGAACCAGUGCUAUUGUCUGUUUCCUGCUGAAUCAAUAAAACAUAGGCACCUAUGCCUUAAGGAAACAGUAACUCUUUAAAUUGCCCUUUAUAUUUACAAUUACUUAAUGACUGUAUUUUGCCAAAAAUAAAGGUCAUUAAAAUCAUCUUGAAGCUUCACUUAAAUUUCAGAAGUAGCCUACAACUUGUACAGUCUUUAACUAUGUUCCAUUUAACACAUUUAAUAGAUGUAAAAGCUCACAAGUGAUGAUAUAAAGGAUAAUUUACGCUUGCAAUGCAUUUUUGUCCAAUUAAUAGAUUGCCUGCGUGUUGCAUAUUUUGCAUGACAAAAGAGCAGAAUAUUAAACUGCCAUUCAUAAUGAAAAUGCACUUUGCAAAUUAAAAGUGCCGAAACAGAAAUUUUUCACCCUGUUUAGGAAAUAAACAGUCCUUAACCAAUUAAACUGCAUUGUAAUAAUUCUAUGAUUUAUUGCAAGUUGUUUAACUUUCAAAACUCGGCUAACCCAUAUUAAGGUCACAAUCCAUCAUGUCUUGCUUGGAAAGCCAGCAAAUAAUGGCUGUUGUAUUAGCUGCUUUUGAUGAUAGUAUGAAAGAAGUAUUAGCACUUGUCAACAAAACUGCUUACAACAUAACAUUAGCAUGCAUGGGCUGCUGUACCUAUUUAUUAUUCUGGCAGCUUCACACAUAUUGUUACAAGCUUAUAAAACAUUUUGUCGGGUGGAAACCGAAUGUACACUGUUUGGUUUUCUGAUAGACUGGCAGCAUAAAUGUCUGGGCUGACUUAGUUUAGUUUAAGUGUAAAUAGAGACACAAAUUCUUCAACCUGUUCUCUUAUUGAUACUGAAAAGUGCUGAAUUAUUCAGCAUCCAACUCUUCUGUUUGUGUCUAUCACAGUUAUCAAUUACCCAUCAGUCUUCUUGUCAAAACAGAAUGGAUUAAUCUGGCUGAAAAUAAGACAAAUAAAUGGAUACUAUAACAGGGGUGCGGGGUUGCCAGACUGUCAAAGGGAAAUCCAGGCAGUGACAUUUGCCGUCAAAAAUGGGAUCUCUGGCUUAAGUGAGCAAAUGAUUCCCCUUUGCGAGCCAAGAAUGCACUUAGCUCACCGUAAGUAAAUUAAUCUGCCUUCUUUGACUGCUAAUGCAUUAGCACUGAGGUAAUAGUUCCAUUGCUGGAAUUCCUUUACAUUUAAAUAAUUUUGGUCAUCAUUAUUGUUUCUCAAGGAAAUGCAGAUACUUUAUCUUGGUAGAGAGGCCUGCCUGGUAAAUAAAUGAACCCAUUUAACAAUGAAGUUAUUGCUGAUAGUUUUGUGCCACUUCAUAGCUCUCAGCUCAUGUGAUACUAAGUAACUCUUUGCACAGAUGGCUGGUGGAACCCAUCCAGCAUCUGCAAAGUCCAUCCCUGUUUUCUUUCCCAAACAUUUUAUUUGGAAAUCUUGUUUGGCAAACUUCCCGAGACUCUGCCUAGCUGUUCAAAGUACAUAUUUCCAAUCUAUCUCAUUUGGCCCUUCUAUAAAAAAAGAGCCAGCAAAGUGCCUUCUUAUUUGGCACAAAAAAGGCAGCCGCCGACUGAAGCAAGUUUUAGGUUCCUGGCCAAAAAUUUACAAGAAUUUUAUCUUAGAUGCUUCUAUACUGGACUGUUUUACACAGUCAUCAUUAACAUCUGAAGCCGUCACAUUGUGACAGGAUCAAAACCCCCAAUCUGUAUCAACUGAUAGCUUCACUUUGCCAAAAGCUCCCACUUGUUCUUAUUUUCCCAGACAUCUGCACCCCAGUUUUUGUGGACACGGUUCUUACUUACACUGUGGGAUGGUGAGGUAUCUAAGGUUCAAAAUGUUCAAAGUGUGGAUCCAAGUAUAGAAGAUUUUGAAAAACCAAAGAAAGCAAUAAAAUGGAUGAACUGCAACAUACAAGUGGAAGAACGAUAAACUGAUGAAUUUUAGCGUAUUGCCAAAAUGCCGAAGAUUACCAGAUAAGCAGCUUGAUAACGAUCAUUUAAAAUCAAUCACCCUUCCCAAAGAAACGUUAAGAAGCCGACAACAAAAGACCCUCCUACAGAAGAUUGUUUUGAAAAUUCAUCAGCUGUAAUUGUGAAAUCACUUCUUUAUCCUGAUCAGAAAAAUCCUGCUAUGAAAUGAACACCGGCUGACCAGA